UUUACAAGAGUUUUUAGAGAUACCUUGUUCCGGUUUUCAAGAAUCAACAUUGAAGUAAUUUUUUUCUUUUUUUUUCAAUUUUUUUUCUUUUCUUCUUAUUUUUAUAUGGUUCAAAUUAAUAGCAAUAUGUAACAAUUGGCUGGCUUAAAGUGACAAGAGUUUAACUUCACCUCUGUCACCUUAAGACCGAAAGUCUUAUGCAAUAAUUGGCCGGCUUAAGGUGGCGAGAGUUUAACUUCGCCUCUGUCACCUUAAGUCCAAAAGACUUACGUGAUAAUUGGCUGGCUUAAGGUGGUGAGAGUUUAACUUCACCCCUGUCACCUUAAGACCGAAAGACUGCAAUAAUUGGCUGGCUUAAGGUGUGAGAAUUUAACUUUGCCUCCAUUACUGUAAGACCGAAAUACUUUUCUUGAAGACGGUGGACACUGGCUUAAGGUGCAAGAGUUUAACUUUGCCUCCGUCACCUUAAGACUGAAAGACUUUGCUUGAAGACGAAAUAAUUUUCUUUAAGUAUGGGUCCUUUCAUCGAUGCACUUAUGCAAUAGUCUUCUUUUAGUAUGGACCCUUUACUAAUGCAUUUAUGCAAUGGUUUUCUUUAAGUAUGGACCCUUUACUAAUGCAUUUAUGCAAUGGUCUUCUCUAUGUAUAGCCCUUUCAUCGAUGCACUUAUGCAAUGAUCUUCUUUAAGUAUGGGCCCUUUUCACCGAUGUAUUUAUGCGAUAGUCUUCUCUAAGUAUGAGCCCUUUUCACCGAUGCAUUUAUGCGAUAAUCUUCUCUAAGUAUGGGCCCUUUUAAGGAUAAACUUAAGGUGCAAAAGGACAAAUAUUGUCCAUCUUAAGGCAUGAAAAUUUCAAUAUACUUUAAGGAUAAACUUGUCAGAGGCCAUCUUAAGGCGCAAAGGGACAAAUCUUGUCCACCUUAAGGCAUGGAAAUUUUGAUAUCCUUUUAAGGAUAAACUCAUGACAUACCAAUUUGAGGUGCAAAGGGAUAAAUUUUGUCCACCUUAAGGCAUGGAAAUUUUGAGAUCCUUUUAAGGAUAAACCCGUAAGAGGCCAGUUUAAGGUGCAAAGGGACAAAUUUUAUCCACCUUAAGGCAUGAAAAUUUUUAGGUCCUUUUAAGGAUAAACCCGCG
rnacentral:lncRNA from 1 species